rnacentral:tRNA from 1 species
GGGGGCGUAGCUCAGUUGGUAGAGCAACAGACUUUUAAUCUGUGGGUCGAAGGUUCGAUCCCUUCCGCCCUCA